GACUUACACUUUUAACGGAUUUUUUUUUUAACGAAGAAUCCCUUUGAGUAAUAACCAGAUGAGAAAAUCUAAAUACUCGCCUCUUAAUCUUGAAGGCCCUCUAGCGAUACCAUUCGUGACGAUCUAAAAAAACCGGAAAGCUGAUCGGUAAAAAAAAAAAAAAAAACUAACAGAAAAGAAAUUAAAGAAAUUAAAUCAAAAUGUUAAACAUCGCUUUUUAAUUAAACGUUUCUUAAAAGUGCAAUCCUGGCUAAGGUCACAUACCUCUUACGUCUUACCUCAAAAGUACAUUUUACUUGGGAAAAGCACCGGUUGAUUGUUGUAUAGGCAUACAGUAGGGAAGGGGUUUAGCAACAAAAUCAUCGUUGCUUAGAAAGUGGAUCAAGCAACAGUAAUAAAUUUCACGUUUCAUAAAAUUUUGGAGGUUUAAUUCAAAAGUUAGGAGAAACCGCCAAAUCUUUCAGAUCUGAAACUUCGAAGCUGUAUUUCAUACAACAUGUUUUCUAUUACUGCUUACAACAUUGGCUUUACUUGCCGAUAAACUCGUUAUUUUUACAUAAAACUCAGAGGCUUUAUUAAAUCGCCUGCCAUUUCCGUUUUAGUAUGAACAUGAUGAAUACCACUUUAACAAAACUACUAAACAAAAUGCAAACACUAUUUUCCCCCUAUUGUGUAUAAAUCCUUUAGGGUGUUUCAGCAAAUGGUACUUUUCCACUCCCUCAUUUUAAUUAAUUUGUAGUAUUUUCUUCGCUUUCUAGCAUGAUUUGAACAGAUGAACAGCGAGCUUUCGUUUUCCCUUUCACUAAAUAUGGUGAUGCAAUCUUGCUUAUUUAUAAAGUAUGGCUGAAAGUUUUCUUUGGAGCUUAUGUAUUCAUUCCAAGUCUUUGAAAGUUGUGAUCUUUUCGAAAUUCGUGUCACCCCAAUACACAUACUAGACGUGUGCUUAAAUCAU